GAUGAACGCUGGCGGCGUGCCUAAUACAUGCAAGUCGAGCGAACAGACGAGGAGCUUGCUCCUCUGACGUUAGCGGCGGACGGGUGAGUAACACGUGGAUAACCUACCUAUAAGACUGGGAUAACUUCGGGAAACCGGAGCUAAUACCGGAUAAUAUAUUGAACCGCAUGGUUCAAUAGUGAAAGACGGUUUUGCUGUCACUUAUAGAUGGAUCCGCGCCGCAUUAGCUAGUUGGUAAGGUAACGGCUUACCAAGGCAACGAUGCGUAGCCGACAUGAGAGGGUGAUCGGCCACACUGGAACUGAGACACGGUACAGACUCCUACGGGAGGCAGCAGUAGGGAAUCUUCCGCAAUGGGAGAAAGCCUGACGGAGCAAAGCCGCGUGAGUGAUGAAGGUCUUCGGAUCGUAAAACUCUGUUAUUAGGGAAGAAAAAAUGUGUAAGUAACUAUGAACGACUUGACGGUACCUAAUCAGAAAGCCACGGCUAACUACGUG
rnacentral:rRNA from 1 species